rnacentral:sRNA from 1 species
UUUAUCUUUACAUUAUGAAGAAAUAACCAAAGGACCAAAUUGUGUAAUUCGAGGUGUUACAGCCAAGGGCCCUGUAAACUCUUGUCAAGGCAAGAAUUAUAAUCUGAAGGUUACUCUGCCGGGCUUAAAAGAAGACUCACAGAUUUUGAAAAUUAGAUUACUACCUGGUAAUAUUAUUUCAAGAAAUAUUCAUAAUUAUUUAAAAUAAUAUUCUUAUGUUAAAGUAUAAUGAUAUAAAGUUAGAGGUUUUUGGGCUUUUAGUAGUGGUAUAAAUCUUGAAAAUACAUUUAAAUGUCAAACCAUAGCACUGACAGAAAUGACCAGUUUUUGAAAAGGAAAACAUUUAGGAAAAUGUUAUUGACAUUCUGAAUAUAACCUUGGGAGAAAAAUUUGGAUAUUGAAAAUGUUUUGGGGAACUAUUUCUUGGAAUGUAUCUAUUAGGCUUUAUUAGAGCUGGGUCUGUUCUUUACAUUUUGUUGAUAAAACUGUUUCAUAUUUUAAGAAGAAAAACUUCUAAUGUUAUUUUUAUUAAGUUAACUUGAUAAUGACUUAACUUGAGAAAAUGAAGUUGCAUUAAAGUUACGUAAGAUAGAAUAUGCUGGCUAAUUUUAGAGGCAGUCUAUAAUAGAGGUUUUAAGUACGUUCUGGAGUCAGCCCUUCUGGGUUAGUAUCUAGGUAAACUCGUUCUAUGCCUCAGUUUCUUCAUGUGUAAAAUGAGAUAAUAUCUACUCCCUUGGGGUUGUUAGGAGGAUUAAAUGAGUUACUACAGGUAGUCCUUACCUUGCACAGUUCUGUAGUACUCAAUGGAGGA